UACGUAGGGUGCGAGCGUUGUCCGGAACUAUUGGGCGUAAAGAGCUUGUAGGCGGUUUGUCGCGUCUGCUGUGAAAUUUCGGGGCUCAACCCCGAACUUGCAGUGGGUACGGGCAGACUAGAGUGUGGUAGGGGAGACUGGAAUUCCUGGUGUAGCGGUGAAAUGCGCAGAUAUCAGGAGGAACACCGAUGGCGAAGGCAGGUCUCUGGGCCACUACUGACGCUGAGAAGCGAAAGCAUGGGGAGCGAACAGG
rnacentral:rRNA from 1 species